AUUGAACGCUGGCGGAAUGCUUUACACAUGCAAGUCGAACGGCAGCACGGGGCCAGCCCUGGUUGCGAGUGGCGAACGGGUGAGUAAUACAUCGGAACGUGCCCGGCCGUGGGGGAUAACGUAGCGAAAGUUACGCUAAUACCGCAUACGAUCUGAGGAUGAAAGAGGGGGACCUUCGGACCUCGCGCGAUCGUAGCGGCCGAUGUCAGAUUAGGUAGUUGGUGGGGUAAAGGCCUACCAAGCCGACGAUCUGUAGCUGGUCUGAGAGGACGACCGGCCACACUGGGACUGAGACACGGCCAAGACUCCUACGGGAGGCAGCAGUGGGGAAUUUUGGACAAUGGGCGCAAGCCUGAUCCAGCCAUUCCGCGUGCAGGACGAAGGCCUUCGGGUUGUAAACUGCUUUUGUACGGAACGAAAAGGCUCUGGCUAAUACCUGGGGCUCAUGACGGUACCGUAAGAAUAAGCACCGGCUAACUACGUG
rnacentral:rRNA from 1 species